GAAAUAUGACACCCAAGAUAAAGCUUCUAACUUUAAUCUUUAGCAGUGAAACUCUGUUUAUAUUUCU
rnacentral:tRNA from 1 species